rnacentral:rRNA from 1 species
GGCGAGCGCGGGCGGCUUGCUUGACACGUGCGAGUCGAGCGAGGAGGCCGAGCUUGCUAGGUGGAUUAGUGGCGAACGGGGGAGUAAUACGUGAGUAACCUACCUUUAACUCUGGGAUAAGCCUGGGAAACUGGGUCUAAUACCGGAUACGACCAAUCUCCGCAUGGGGUGUUGGUGGAAAGCGUUAUGUAGUGGUUAUAGAUGGGCUCACGGCCUAUCAGCUUGUUGGUGAGGUAACGGCUCACCAAGGCGACGACGGGUAGCCGGCCUGAGAGGGUGACCGGCCACACUGGGACUGAGACACGGCCCAGACUCCUACGGGAGGCAGCAGUGGGGAAUAUUGCACAAUGGGCGCAAGCCUGAUGCAGCGACGCCGCGUGAGGGAUGACGGCCUUCGGGUUGUAAACCUCUGUUAGCAGGGAAGAAGAGAGAUUGACGGUACCUGCAGAGAAAGCGCCGGCUAACUACGUGCCAGCAGCCGCGGUAAUACGUAGGGCGCGAGCGUUGUCCGGAAUUAUUGGGCGUAAAGAGCUUGUAGGCGGUUUGUCGCGUCUGCUGUGAAGGCCGGGGCUUAACCCCGUGUAUUGCAGUGGGUACGGGCAGACUAGAGUGCAGUAGGGGAGACUGGAAUUCCUGGUGUAGCGGUGGAAUGCGCAGAUAUCAGGAGGAACACCGAUGGCGAAGGCAGGUCUCUGGGCUGUAACUGACGCUGAGAAGCGAAAGCAUGGGGAGCGAACAGGAUUAGAUACCCUGGUAGUCCAUGCCGUAAACGUUGGGCACUAGGUGUGGGGGACAUUCCACGUUUUCCGCGCCGUAGCUAACGCAUUAAGUGCCCCGCCUGGGGAGUACGGCCGCAAGGCUAAAACUCAAAGAAAUUGACGGGGGCCCGCACAAGCGGCGGAGCAUGCGGAUUAAUUCGACGCAACGCGAAGAACCUUACCAAGGCUUGACAUAUACUGGACCGCAUCAGAGAUGGUGUUUCCCUUCGGGGCUGGUAUACAGGUGGUGCAUGGUUGUCGUCAGCUCGUGUCGUGAGAUGUUGGGUUAAGUCCCGCAACGGGCGCAACCCUCGUUCUAUGUUGCCAGCACGUUAUGGUGGGGACUCGUAGGAGACUGCCGGGGUCAACUCGGAGGAAGGUGGGGAUGACGUCAAAUCAUCAUGCCCCUUAUGUCUUGGGCUUCACGCAUGCUACAAUGGCCGGUACAGAGGGUUGCGAUACUGUGAGGCGGAGCUAAUCCCUAAAAGCCGGUCUCAGUUCGGAUUGGGGUCUGCAACUCGACCCCAUGAAGUCGGAGUCGCUAGUAAUCGCAGAUCAGCAACGCUGCGGUGAAUACGUUCCCGGGCCU